ensembl:rRNA 5S_rRNA 5S ribosomal RNA
GUCUAUGGCCAUGCCACCCUGAACAUGCCCGAUCUCAUCUGAACUCCGAACUCAUGCAGGAUCGGGCCUGGUUAGUACUUGGAUGGGAGAUCAGAGGACCAAGGUCUUUGGGUC